rnacentral:rRNA from 1 species
UACGUAGGGUGCAAGCGUUGUCCGGAAUUAUUGGGCGUAAAGGGCGCGUAGGCGGUGCGGUAAGUCUGUAGUGAAAUCUCUGGGCUCAACUCAGAGUCUGCUGCAGAAACUGCCGUGCUUGAGUGUGGGAGAGGUGAGUGGAAUUCCUGGUGUAGCGGUGAAAUGCGCAGAUAUCAGGAGGAACACCGGUGGCGAAGGCGGGUCUCUGGGCCGAUACUGACGCUGGAGGAGCGAAAGCGUGGGGAGCGAACAGG